rnacentral:tRNA from 1 species
GCCUGGGUGGCUCAGUCGGUUAAGCGUCCGACUUCAGCUCAGGUCAUGAUCUCACAGUUCGUGGGUUCGAGCCCCGCAUUGGGCU